rnacentral:rRNA from 1 species
AGUGAGAAAUCGAUGACAGUAGGGAUGUUGGCUUAGAAGCAGCCAUCCUUUAAAGAAAGCGUAACAGCUCACUGGUCAAGCGAGCCUGCACCGAAAAUAUAACGGGGCUCAAGUCAUGCGCCGAAGCUAUGGGAUUUAUAUUUAUAUAAAUCGGUAGGGGAGCGUUCCCUGUGCGGCGAAGCUGAAUCGAGAGGGUCAGUGGAGCGCAGGGAAGUGAGGAUGUUGGCAUAAGUAACGAAAAUGCGAGCGAGAAACUCGCACGCCGAAAGCCCAAGGUUUCCCGGGCCAUGUUAUUCAGCCCGGGGUUAGUCGGCACCUAAGACGAGGCCGAAAGGCGUAGUCGAUGGCAAACCGGUUCAUAUUCCGGUACUUGCACGUGCGCGUGAUGGAGGGACGCAGGAGGAUAGACCGUCCGGGUGAUGGAUAUCCCGGUUCAAGGCAUUAGGCGGAAGUUCCAGGCAAAUCCGGGACUUCUAUAACGCCGAGAGCUGAUGACGAGAGGCUUUGCUUCGCAAAGCGGUCGAUUCCACACUGCCAAGAAAAGCUUCUAAGCAUAGCACGGGCGAACCGUACCCCAAACCGACACAGGUGGGCGGGUAGAGAAUACCAAGGCGCUUGAGGGAAAUCAUGUUAAGGAACUCUGCAAAAUAACUCCG